CAGGCCUAACACAUGCAAGUCGAACGGGAACAGGAUUAGCUUGCUAAUCGCUGACGAGUGGCGGACGGGUGAGUAAUGCUUGGGAACUUGCCUUCAGGAGGGGGAUAACAGUUGGAAACGACUGCUAAUACCGCAUAACGUCUACGGACCAAAGCGGGCUUCGGCUCGCACCUGAAGAGAGGCCCAAGUGAGAUUAGCUAGUUGGUAAGGUAAAGGCUUACCAAGGCGACGAUCUCUAGCUGUUCUGAGAGGAAGAUCAGCCACACUGGGACUGAGACACGGCCCAGACUCCUACGGGAGGCAGCAGUGGGGAAUAUUGCACAAUGGGGGAAACCCUGAUGCAGCCAUGCCGCGUGUGUGAAGAAGGCCUUCGGGUUGUAAAGCACUUUCAGUUGUGAGGAAAGGUUGGUAGUUAAUACCUGCCAGCUGUGACGUUAACAACAGAAGAAGCACCGGCUAACUCCGUGCCAGCAGCCGCGGUAAUACGGAGGGUGCGAGCGUUAAUCGGAAUUACUGGGCGUAAAGCGCACGCAGGCGGUUUGUUAAGCUAGAUGUGAAAGCCCCGGGCUCAACCUGGGAUGGUCAUUUAGAACUGCCAGACUAGAGUCUUGGAGAGGGGAGUGGAAUUCCAGGUGUAGCGGUGAAAUGCGUAGAUAUCUGGAGGAACAUCAGUGGCGAAGGCGGCUCCCUGGCCAAAGACUGACGCUCAUGUGCGA
rnacentral:rRNA from 1 species